rnacentral:rRNA from 1 species
UACGUAGGGUGCAAGCGUUAAUCGGAAUUACUGGGCGUAAAGCGUGCGCAGGCGGUUGGGCAAGACAGAUGUGAAAUCCCCGGGCUCAACCUGGGAACUGCAUUUGUGACUGCACGGCUAGAGUGUGUCAGAGGGGGGUAGAAUUCCACGUGUAGCAGUGAAAUGCGUAGAUAUGUGGAGGAAUACCGAUGGCGAAGGCAGCCCCCUGGGAUAAAACUGACGCUCAUGCACGAAAGCGUGGGGAGCAAACAGG